GGGCGAAUGGUUUAGUGGUAUAAUACUCCCUUAGCAUCGUUGAAGUAUCGACGUACAGCCUGGGAGUGGUCCGGGGUUCGAUUCCCCGUUUGUCCA